rnacentral:rRNA from 1 species
CUACGGGGGGCUGCAGUGAGGAAUAUUGCACAAUGGGGGGAACCCUGAUGCAGCAACGCCGCGUGGAGGAUGACGCAUUUCGGUGUGUAAACUCCUUUUAUAUGUCAAGGAAAUGACGGUAGCAUAUGAAUAAGCACCGGCUAACUCCGUGCCAGCAGCCGCGGUAAUACGGAGGGUGCAAGCGUUACUCGGAAUCACUGGGCGUAAAGGACGCGUAGGCGGGUUGGAAAGUCAGGUGUGAAAUCCUACAGCUUAACUGUAGAACUGCACUUGAAACUUCUAAUCUAGAGUAUGGGAGGGGGAGAUGGAAUUAGUGGUGUAGGGGUAAAAUCCGCAGAUAUCACUAGGAAUACCUAAAGCGAAGGCGAUCUCCUGGAACAUUACUGACGCUAAGGCGUGAAAGCGUGGGGAGCAAACAGGAUUAGAUACCCCGGUAGUC